AGAAAACAUGUCUGGAUUCCCAAGGAUUGUAACAAAUACAACAUAAUAUUGCUUGAAAUCACACUGAAGUAGCCAAGAACAGACAAGUGAUGAACCCUAAAUGCAAGUCGCCAUGGCCCUAGACCCUUGAAGACCUUAGAGAAGGUAGGCAUGGCAUGAUAGAAGCCAUUUGAGGCUAAGGAGACGAUAAGAGGUCAUCGAAGAUCACUGGAGAAUAGAGGUCGGUGGUUGAAGGGCUAGGGUUUGGUUGAGAGUUACUGAGAGGGGAGAGGAUCUUAG
rnacentral:lncRNA from 1 species